GAAUUCGAUUCUCCUGGAAACGGGUGGUAAUGCCGGAUGCUCCAGUCCAUCGCAUGGUGGUCUGGGAAAGAUUUCAUCGGUAUGGGAUGGGGUCGCGUCCUAUCAGGUAGUCGGCGGGGUAACGGCCCACCGAGCCUACGACGGGUAGCCGGCCUGAGAGGGCGACCGGCCACAUUGGGACUGAGAUACGGCCCAGACUCCUACGGGAGGCAGCAGUGGGGAAUAUUGCACAAUGGGCGCAAGCCUGAUGCAGCGACGCCGCGUGCGGGAUGACGGCCUUCGGGUUGUAAACCGCUUUUGUUAGGGAGCAAGCGCAAGUGAGUGUACCUUUCGAAUAAGCACCGGCUAACUACGUGCCAGCAGCCGCGGUAAUAUGUAGGGUGCAAGCGUUAUCCGGAAUUAUUGGGCGUAAAGAGCUCGUAGGCGGUUUGUCGCGUCUGGUGUGAAAGUCCAUCGCUUAACGGUGGAUCUGCGCCGGGUACGGGCAGGCUAGAGUGUGGUAGGGGAGACUGGAAUUCCCGGUGUAACGGUGGAAUGUGUAGAUAUCGGGAAGAACACCAAUCACUAGUG
rnacentral:rRNA from 1 species